rfam:Schistosoma haematobium scaffold671_24, whole genome shotgun sequence.
GCACUACUGAGGAGUCCCACAAUAGGACAAAACGGCCGUACAGUGC